CCCCGUGUGGCGAAAUGGUAGACGCGCUUGACUCAAAAUCAAGUAGUGAAGACUGUGCUGGUUCGAGUCCGGUCACGGGGA
rnacentral:ncRNA from 14 species